GGAGGUGUUUAGUCCGUAGGCGUAUUUACUAAUACGAAUCGGACAUGCCCUUAGCGACGGCGCUUUGGGUAUCUAGGAAGAUUCACCUACC
rfam:Drosophila ananassae strain TSC#14024-0371.13 Ctg01_16137, whole genome shotgun sequence.